UUCCUACGGGGGGCAGCAGUGGGGAAUAUUGCACAAUGGGGGGAACCCUGAUGCAGCAAUGCCGCGUGGGUGAAGAAGCACUCCGGUGCGUAAAGCCCUGUCAGCAGGGAAGAAAAUGACAGUACCUGACCAAGAAGCCCCGGCUAACUACGUGCCAGCAGCCGCGGUAAUACGUAGGGAGCAAGCGUUGUCCGGAAUUACUGGGCGUAAAGGGCGCGUAGGCGGGCGCUUAAGUCAGGUGUGAAAACUCCGGGCUCAACCUGGAGACUGCACUUGAAACUGGGUGUCUUGAGGGCAGGAGAGGG
rnacentral:rRNA from 1 species